CGCUCUUUGGAAAACUCCUUGAUGUAUAAAGAGUUCUGCCUGCCCGUGACAUUAGUUAAACGGCCGCGGUAUCUUGACCGUGCGAAGGUAGCAUAAUCAUUUGCCCUUUAAAUGGGGGCUGGUAUGAAUGGCAAGACGGAAAUCUAGCUGUCUCCCUUUUAAUAUCUUGAAAUUAAUAUAUUUGUGAAGAAGCAAAUAUAAAGUCGUGGGACGAGAAGACCCUAUCGAGUUUUAGUAUAUAAUCCUAAACUAAAAAGUACUGGUCUUAAGCUGAUUUUUAACAAUAAAAGUAAAUUCACUCUAACUUAGUACGUGGUUUUAGUAUAACUACUUUAAUUGGGGCAAUUACGGAGAAAACUAAUCCUCCGAUAUGAGUAAUAAUUCUACAGAAAACACUUUGGAAAUGUAAAAAUUACACACCAAUGAUCCACUUUUAAAAAGUGAACAAAGGAACAAAUUACCGUAGGGAUAACAGCGUUAUUCUCUUAGAGAGUCCACAUUGAUAAGAGAGUUUGCGACCUCGAUGUUGGAUCGGGACUUCCAAGAAAUGCAGCAGUUUCUAAGGGUUGGUCUGUUC
rnacentral:rRNA from 1 species